GAUGAACGCUGGCGGCGUGCAUAACACAUUCAAGUCGAACGGUGACGAACCCUUCGGGGUUCAGAUCAGUGGCGGACGGGUGAGUAACGCGUGAGCAACCUGCCCUGCAAGGCGGGAUAACACAGGGAAACUUGUGCUAAUACCGCAUGACAUAUACCGGUCGCAUGACUGGUAUAUCAAAGGGAAACCGAUGCAGGAUGGGCUCGCGUUGGAUUAGAUAGUUGGCGAGGUAACGGCUCACCAAGUCGACGAUCCAUAGCCGAACUGAGAGGGUGGACGGCCACAAGGGGACUGAGAUACGGCCCUU
rnacentral:rRNA from 1 species